rnacentral:tRNA from 1 species
GUGCCUGUGGGGCAUGGUUGAUUGUUUGCCUGCCACCCAAAAGGUUGUUGGUUCAAGUCCGGCUGGGGACA